CACAUCAGAAUCAGCUGAGGGAGACUUAAAAGAUAUACCUGUGCCAAAUUCCAACCCUUUACCAUUUGAAAAUUUCUGCCAGGGACCCAGAAGCAGCACUUUACAAAGGAUCUAAAACAUUCUUUCACAUUUAAUCACUCCAGCAACCUUUUAAGAUCCAAGUUCUCCUACCUAUGAGGACCAGCUCUUGAUAUACUUGUCGUAUGGGGGCAAUAGGACUGAAGCCUUCCCAUGCCCAAAGCUCUCCUCUGAGGGGCCGUUGGAGUCUGAAAUCCAGUCUCAUCUCUACAGGUCAGGUUGGACGUCCCUGGGUGGUCUAUGUUUGGCUGAAGGAAAGGGCUUCUGUUUCUAAUUCACACACAAGAGCAGAGUAUCAGCGAUAAUCUGUUCUUACA